CGCGCAGGCGGCCAGGUCAGUCGAAUGUGAAAGCCCCCGGCUCAACUGGGGAAGGUCGUUCGAUACUGCUUGGCUCGAAGAUAGGAGAGGGAAGUGGAAUUUCAGGUGUAGUGGUGAAAUGCGUAGAUAUCUGAAGGAACACCAGUGGCGAAGGCGACUUUCUGGCCUAUUCUUGACGCUGAGGCGCGAAAGCUAGGGGAGCGAACG
rnacentral:rRNA from 1 species